rnacentral:tRNA from 2 species
GCGCUCGUAGCUCAGUUGGAUAGAGCACUAGGUUGCGGACCUAGGGGUCGCAGGUUCAAAUCCUGCCGGGCGCA